GAUGAACGCUAGCGGCGUGGAUAAGGCAUGCAAGUCGAACGCUCCGUUGUAGCUUGUUCGCAAACUAUGGCGGGGAGUGGCAAAUGGGUUAGUAACACGUAACUUACGCACCGCUAACACGGGCAUAAUUCCGCGAAAGCGGAACUAAUUCCCGAUAGUCCCUGGGAGUAAUCGGAGGGUAAAAGUUAGGAGUAAUCCUUUCUGGUUAGCGAGCGGGUUGCGGCCUAUCAGCUAGUUGGUAAGAUAAUGGCUUACCAAGGCUAUGACAGGUAGGGGGUGUGAGAGCAUGGCCCCCAACAAGGGCACUGAGACACGGGUCCUACUCCUACGGGAGGCAGCAGUCGAGAAUCUUGGGCAAUGGGCGAAAGCCUGACCCAGCGACGCCGCGUGCGGGAAGAAGGUCUUCGGAUUGUAAACCGCUUUUCUGGAGGAACAAGCUUUAUGUUUUGCAUAAAGUUGAGCUUACUCCAGGAAUAAGGGGAUGCUAAUUCUGUGCCAGCAGCCGCGGUAAAACAGAAUCCCCAAGCGUUAUCCGAAUUUACUGGGCGUAAAGCGUUCGUAGGCGGUUUGAUAAGUCUGGUGUUAAAACUCUUGAGCUUAACUUAAGAGAUGCACCGGAAACUGUUGAACUAGAAGGCGUUAGAGGCUGGCGGAACGCACGGUGUAGGGGUGAAAUCCGUUGAUAUCGUGCGGAACACCAAAAGCGAAGGCAGCCAGCUAGAGCGACCUUGACGCUGAGGAACGAAAGCGUGGGUAGCAAAAAGGAUUAGAUACCCUUGUAGUCCACGCUGUAAACGAUGGACACUAGCUAUUGGCAGUGUCGACCCUGUCAGUGGCGAAGCUAACGCGUUAAGUGUCCCGCCUGGGAAGUACGGCGGCAACGCUAAAACUCAAAGGAAUAGACGG
rnacentral:rRNA from 1 species